rnacentral:rRNA from 1 species
UAAACUAGGAUUAGAUACCCUAUUAUUUUAAAUGUAAUAGAAAAACUAAAUUAGUAUUAGUUAUGUUCUUGAAAAUUAAAAAAUUUGGCGGUAUUUUAGUCUUUUCAGAGGAACCUGUCCUAUAAUUGAUAGUCCACGAUAUAGGGUACUUUAUUUAUUAGUUUACAUAUCGUCGUAGUUUGAAUAUUUUAUUAGAAAUUUGAAUAUUCUUGAUUUUUAAUUAAAAAGUAAAUCAGAUCAAGGUGUAGUUUAUAAUAAAGGAGAGAUGGGUUACAUUAAAUUUAUUUAAGGAUUAUUUUUAGGAUAAAAAUUUAAAUGUGGAUUUGAAAGUAAUUUUUUUUAAUUUAUAAAGAUGAUUAUAGCUCUAAAAUAUGCACACAUCGCCCGUCGCUCUUAA